AAUCAACGCUGGCGGCGUGCCUCAGACAUGCAAGUCGAACGAUUAAAGCUCUCUUCGGAGAGUGUAUAGAGUGGCGCACGGGUGAGUAACACGUAAGUAAUCUACCUUUGAGUGGGGAAUAACCCGGGGAAACCCGAGCUAAUACCGCAUAAUGCAGCGGCAUCGCAAGAUGACAGUUGUUAAAGGAGCAAUCCGCUUAAAGAGGAGCUUGCGGCAGAUUAGCUAGUUGGUAAGGUAAUGGCUUACCAAGGCUACGAUCUGUAUCCGGUCUAAGAGGACGU
rnacentral:rRNA from 1 species